CUCGUAGGCGGUUUGGUGAGUCGGGUGUGAAAUCUCCACGCUCAACGUGGAGGGGCCACCCGAUACUGCCAUGACUAGAGUCCGGUAGGGGAGUGUGGAAUUCCCGGUGUAGCGGUGAAAUGCGCAGAUAUCGGGAGGAACACCAGUAGCGAAGGCGACACUCUGGGCCGGUACUGACGCUGAGGAGCGAAAGCGAUGGGGAGCGAACA
rnacentral:rRNA from 1 species